CCCCAAAACUCGAAUUAUUAAAUUCGUUAGUAGGUUACCUUGGGUAAUUAGAUGAAGUACAACAACUAAGUUAUUAAACUUAGUUAAAUGUCUAAUAAAUAAGUAAAGGAAUGAAGUUUGUGGCAACUAUGAUGAUGUGUUAGAGUUGAGGGACCUAGAUUGCCAUAAUGUAAACUAAAAUAUAAUAAAAAAAAAAGAAAGCAAAAAUAAAACCACAACACACACUGUGCGUGUGUGUGGUCGAUCGCACAAGGCAGAGGGAAAGGGGUAAACCCUAAUUCUCAAGAAAUCUCCAAAUUGAAAAGGGAAUUGAAGGAUUUUAGGAUGCAUGUAUCAAGAUUAUCGAUCUCCUAAGUGUUCUUCACUAUCAAGAACGUGUCAAGGAGAGGUCAAGCAUAGGAGGAUAACGGGUCAAGAUAAGGCAAGGUGACAAAUACACUUAAUGGCGAGGUAAGUGAAUUUCGAUUCACUUUUUAGUAGGUUUAAUAGAUUUUAAUACUUAUGUUUACGAAACAUCAUGAAAGAACAUGUAAUAAUCAGAAGUACAAAGCCAAUAAUGCCUCAUUAUUGAGGAAGGUUGUAUUAAGCCGAAAGUAAAUUGGUGGGUUUAAACGGGUCGAAUUUUAUGUGCAUAUGUUGCGUAAUGUAAUAAAAUUCGUUAUGGUUAAGACCUUGGGUAGGAAUUUUUAGUCAUUAUGUAAGGGGAACACUUCCCGGACCAUUAGGAACAAGUUUUAUAUGAUUCGGUUGUCGGUUAGUUAAUGAACGGAUUGUUUCAUGUUAGUGUAGGAAAUUUUAUAAGUAUAUGUGUAUAGGAACCCAAAGGGCACGUGGGUUGAAUCAUAGAUUGUUUAUACUAUGUAAAGUUGUGAAUGUGACAUUCCGGCAUAAACCUACAUGUAAAAGAAGCUUGUGUAUAUAUUCGUGAUUAAUUAAUUGUGCGUAGGAAGGAACAUUGGCAUGUAUGAAGGUACGCAUGUAUAUGUAAGUGUGUAUAUAUAUAUAUAUAUAUGUAUGUAUGAUAAUAAGUACGUAGGUGUGAAUGUAUGUGUGAAUGAAUGUUCAAUGCUUAAGACAUAUGCAUGAACGUUAUCAAAGUGUUCGAGUAUUUAUGGUUACUAAUGAUGUGCGUUGAGUUGGAAUGUAAUGUAGGUAUGGGAUCGUUGGCUUCAUGAAGAAAUGGAGCUGGAUUUGGAUAAGAGUAUUUAAGAAAGCGCUUGGACAAUUCCACGACUACUUUAUAGAAUGCUCUACGAAAUUCUAUUAUAUAGUUUAAUGUUGUAUGGUAUGUUAAUGACUAAUGGUUUGGUUGUACGUGGUGUCCACAGGUAUCGCUUGGGUUUUCUCUACAUUUAUUGAAGUGAAGCGGACUUAGUUCGAGUUGAGAGCAAGGAUUGUACGGGGUAGAAUGGUCACAUAGUGUAACUCAUAUAGAUUUUGAAGUAUUUGAACCUUCAUGUGUUUGAUAUGUCUAUUAAAGAACGAAAUUUUUGGGCUCU